rfam:Triticum aestivum genome assembly, contig: Triticum_aestivum_CS42_TGACv1_scaffold_624147_7DS
AAUCUACUCCCUCCGUCCCAAAAUUCUUGUCUUAGAUUUGUUAGAUACGGAUGUACCUAACACUAAAACGUAACUAGAUACAUCCGUAUUUAGACAAAUCUAAGACAAGAAUUUUGGGACGGAGGGAGAAUGUU